UAGGAGGUAGUGUAAUGGAAGCACCAGGAGUUUUGAUCUCUUAAGCAUGGGUUCGAAUCCCUUUCUUCUAA
rnacentral:tRNA from 1 species